AUUGAACGCUGGCGGCAGGCCUAACACAUGCAAGUCGAGCGGAGGAAGGGAGCUUGCUUCUGGAUUCAGCGGCGGACGGGUGAGUAAUUCCUAGGAAUCUGCCCGGUAGUGGGGGAUAACGUCCGGAAACGGGCGCUAAUACCGCAUACGAUCUGAGGGAGAAAGUGGGGGAUCUUCGGACCUCACGCUAUCAGAUGAGCCUAGGUCGGAUUAGCUAGUUGGUUGGGUAAAGGCCUACCAAGGCGACGAUCCGUAACUGGUCUGAGAGGAUGAUCAGUCACACUGGAACUGAGAAACGGCCAAGACUCCUCCGGGAGGAAGAAGUGGGAAAUAUUGGACAAUGGGCGAAGGCCUGAUCCAGAAAGGCCGCGUGUGUGAAGAAGGUCUUCGGAUUGUAAAGCACGUUAAGUUGGGAGGAAGGGCAGUAAGUUAAUACCUUGCUGUUUUGACGUUACCAACAGAAUAAGCACCGGCUAACUUCGUG
rnacentral:rRNA from 1 species